AGAGAUGGGGCUUCACUGCUCCACCACCUCGAGACGUCAAGAUGGAGGGAGCCCUCUCCAGAAACCAAGCCUACAUCAAAUAAUAAAAAUGAUAUUAAAAAGCUUAUUACUACUAUAAAAUUAUUCGCCAUAAAAUAUAAAAUUAAUAUAAUAUAAUUGUACUUGAUACUUACCAACAAACUGAUAGCACAACCAUUUAAGUAAUUGGAUGAUUGCUUCGUCUUGUUUUCCCAAUCAUGUAUCGCUCGACAACUGGAUGUGAUGUUCUCUAUAAAAAAUAUAUAAGCAGCCGUCUCCUAAUCGAAGUCACACAACUUGUCAACAUGGUCAACAUAUUGGUGCAAGAUCGUGGCAUCACACACGUAGACAAGAGGAUGAGUAUCGUGUUUAACACAGCCAACA
rnacentral:lncRNA from 1 species